CGCCCGAUGCCACGUUGCCAGUAGCAGAGAAGAUAGAUUGCAUUGACCAGAAAUGCUACGAUCGGGCGCAGAACAAAUAUUAUUUUUGCACGUUGAUUGGAAUCUAUGGGUCUCUAGUUUUAUCCAUGGAGCCGUUUGCUGCGAUUACACCU